CCUCCGCGACCAUGGUCGUCCUCCGGAGCACCAAAGGCGCAAAAACAUAACUUGAGUUGUGCGGGAUUACGGGCGCGGCUCUCUGCUCGUCCCUCCAUCCCCGGGUGUUGUAGCCGGCAUGCGGGGCCCUUCCUCGUGGGGGGCACCGUGCCACAACAUACCGCGAGUGUGCAGGAUGUGACCCGAAAGAUGGUGAACUAUGCCUGAUCAGGUUGAAGUCAGGGGAAACCCUGAUGGAGGACCGAAGCAGUUCUGACGUGCAAAUCGAUUGUCAGAAUUGGGCAUAGGGGCGAAAGACCAAUCGAACCAUCUAGUAGCUGGUUCCUUCCGAAA
rnacentral:rRNA from 1 species